rnacentral:misc_RNA from 1 species
GUUCCUGGAGACAUUGUAAAGGUGAAAAUCUACAUUUGAAACUUAUGCAUAUUAGAAUUCACUUACAUGUGUGAUGUUGGCAAAUUUGGUUGUGGCUGUGAGAAACAGUGAUUAGUAUUGUAGGUGGGAUUAGCAACCUUCCAACAAGUGGGAGAUGAGAGUUGGGAAUUUUACUUGAAUUUAAUCUAAAACCAAUCAAACAAGUUGAAUUGUUAGGAAAUAUAGGUUUUAUAGCAGAAGCCUCUGUUCUAAUCAAG